CUGCGGCGUAUCAGGUCGUAGGGGGUGUAACGUACCCUCUAGCCAUCGACGCGUACGGGUGUUGGGAGACAUAGCCCGGAGAUGGAUUCUGAGACACGAAUCCAGACCCUACGGGGUGCAGCAGGCGCGAAAACUUGGCAAUGCGAGAAAUCGUGACCAGGGAACUCCAAGUGGCUGGGGUAAGACCCAGUCUUUUCUUGACUCUUCAAAGGUCUUGGAAUAAGAGGUGGGUAAGGACGGUGCCAGCCGCCGCGGUAAUACCGGCGCCUCAAGUGGUAGUCGAUUUUAUUGGGCCUAAAACGUCCGUAGCCUGUUUGGUACAUUCGUGGGUAAAUCAAUCAGCUUAACUGGUUGAAUUCUGCGAGCACGGCCAGACUUGGGACCGGGAGAGGUGUGGGGUACGCUCAGGGUAGGGGUAAAAUCCUGUCAUCCUGAGCGGACCACCUGUUGCGAAGGCGCCACACUAGAACGGAUCCGACGGUCAGGGACGAAGCCUAGGGGCACGAACCGGAUUAGAUACCCGGGUAGUCCUAGGUGUAAACGCUGUGGACUUGGUGUUGGGGAUGAUCCGAUCAUUCUCAGUGCCGAAGCGAAGGUGAUAAGUCCACUGCCUGGGGAGUACGGUCGCAAGGCUGAAACUUAAAGGAAUUGGCGGGGGAGCACCGCAACCUGAGGAUUGUGCGGUUU
rnacentral:rRNA from 1 species